rnacentral:rRNA from 1 species
UAUCAAUAAGCGGAGGGAAAAGAAACCAACAGGGAUUGCCCCUAGUAACGGCGAGUGAAGCGGCAACAGCUCAAAUUUGAAAUCUGGCGCAAGCCCGAGUUGUAAUUUGUAGAGGAUGCUUCUAGGUAGCGACCGGUCUAAGUUCCUUGGAACAGGACGUCAUAGAGGGUGAGAAUCCCGUAUGUGACCGGCCCGCACCUUCUACGUAGCUCCUUCGACGAGUCGAGUUGUUUGGGAAUGCAGCUCUAAAUGGGAGGUAAAUUUCUUCUAAAGCUAAAUACCGGCCAGAGACCGAUAGCGCACAAGUAGAGUGAUCGAAAGAUGAAAAGCACUUUGGAAAGAGAGUUAAAAAGCACGUGAAAUUGUUGAAAGGGAAGCGCUUACAACCAGACUUCUGGGCGGUGUUCCGCCGGUCUUUUGACCGGUCUACUCGCCGUCCCGAGGCCAACAUCAUCUGGGACCGCUGGAUAAGACCUCAGGAAUGUAGCUUCCCUCGGGAAGUGUUAUAGCCUGUGGUGAUGCAGCGCGUCUCGGGUGAGGUCCGCGCUUCGGCAAGGAUGUUGGCGUAAUGGUUGUCAGCGGCCCGUCUUGAAACACGGACCAAGGAGUCUAACAUCUAUGCGAGUGUUCGGGUGUCAAACCCCUACGCGUAAUGAAAGUGAACGGAGGUGGGAAGCGUAAGCUGCACCAUCGACCGAUCCUGAUGUCCUCGGAUGGAUUUGAGUAAGAGCAUAGCUGUUGGGACCCGAAAGAUGGUGAACUAUGCCUGAAUAGGGUGAAGCCAGAGGAAACUCUGGUGGAGGCUCGCAGCGGUUCUGACGUGCAAAUCGAUCGUCAAAUUUGGGUAUAGGGGCGAAAGACUAAUCGAACCAUCUAGUAGCUGG